GGGUCAGUAGGUUGGUCGUGCCACCGGUACGUACUGGUCUCACUGAUUCCUCCUUCCUGAAGAACCGUAAUGUCAUUAAUUUGGUGUUGCGGGGAAACAGGACUGUUACUUUGAAAAAAUUAGAGUGUUUAAAGCAAGCUAACGCUUGAGUACAUUAGCAUGGAAUAAUGAAAUAGGACGAUCGAUCCUAUUUUGUUGGUUUCUAGGAUUGACGUA
rnacentral:rRNA from 1 species